UGGGGAAUCUUGCGCAAUGGGCGAAAGCCUGACGCAGCCAUGCCGCGUGAAUGAUGAAGGUCUUAGGAUUGUAAAAUUCUUUCACCGGGGACGAUAAUGACGGUACCCGGAGAAGAAGCCCCGGCUAACUUCGUGCCAGCAGCCGCGGUAAUACGAAGGGGGCUAGCGUUGCUCGGAAUUACUGGGCGUAAAGGGAGCGUAGGCGGACAUUUAAGUCAGGGGUGAAAUCCCGGGGCUCAACCUCGGAAUUGCCUUUGAUACUGGGUGUCUUGAGUAUGAGAGAGGUGUGUGGAACUCCGAGUGUAGAGGUGAAAUUCGUAGAUAUUCGGAAGAACACCAGUGGCGAAGGCGACACACUGGCUCAUUACUGACGCUGAGGCUCGAAAGCGUGGGGAGCAAA
rnacentral:rRNA from 1 species